UGGGGAAUAUUGCACAAUGGGCGCAAGCCUGAUGCAGCCAUGCCGCGUGUGUGAAGAAGGCCUUCGGGUUGUAAAGCACUUUCAGCGGGGCGGAAGGCGAUAAGGUUAAUAACCUUGUCGAUUGACGUUACCCGCAGAAGAAGCACCGGCUAACUCCGUGCCAGCAGCCGCGGUAAUACGGAGGGUGCAAGCGUUAAUCGGAAUUACUGGGCGUAAAGCGCACGCAGGCGGUCUGUCAAGUCGGAUGUGAAAUCCCCGGGCUCAACCUGGGAACUGCAUUCGAAACUGGCAGGCUAAAGUCUUGUAGGAGGGGGUAGAAUUCCAGGUGGAGCGGUGGAAUGCGUAGGGGUCUGGGGGAAUACCGGUGGCGAAGGCGGCCCCCUGGACAAAGGCUGACGCUCAGGUGCGAAAGCGUGGGGAGCAAACAGG
rnacentral:rRNA from 1 species